CUGUGUGUAGCUCAACCAGUAGAGUAUUGGACUUAGAAUCCAGAGACCUUGGUUCAAUACCUGCUCUGAAUG